UACGUAGGGGGCGAGCGUUGUCCGGAUUUAUUGGGCGUAAAGAGCGUGUAAGCGGUUCGGUAAGUCUGUCGUGAAAUCCUGAGGCUCAACCUCGGGCGUGCGAUGGAUACUGCCGGGCUAGAGGGUGGUAGAGGCGAGUGGAAUUCCCGGUGUAGCGGUGAAAUGCGUAGAGAUCGGGAGGAAGGCCGGUGGCGAAGGCGGCGCUCUGGAACAUUUCUGACGCUGAGGCUCGAAAGCGUGGGGAGCAAACAGG
rnacentral:rRNA from 1 species